GUGGGGAAUCUUGCGCAAUGGGGGAAACCCUGACGCAGCAACGCCGCGUGGGUGAUGAAGGCCUUCGGGUCGUAAAGCCCUGUCAGGUGGGAAGAAACAUGUUGAUGCCAAUACCAUCAGCACUUGACGGUACCACCGGAGGAAGCACCGGCUAACUCCGUGCCAGCAGCCGCGGUAAUACGGAGGGUGCAAGCGUUGUUCGGAAUUAUUGGGCGUAAAGCGCGUGUAGGCGGUCAUGUAAGUCAGAUGUGAAAGCCUUCCGCUUAACGGGAGAAGUGCAUUUGAAACUGCAUGACUGGAGUACGGGAGAGGAGAGUGGAAUUCCCGGUGUAGAGGUGAAAUUCGUAGAUAUCGGGAGGAACACCAGUGGCGAAGGCGGCUCUCUGGCCUGAUACUGACGCUGAGACGCGAAAGCGUGGGGAGCAAACAGGAUUAGAUACCCGUGUAGUCC
rnacentral:rRNA from 1 species